UUGGCAGACAUCUGUCGGAGGAAUGACCCUUCUCGGGGAGACAGACAACACUCGGUCCCCACAAGUGCACCGUCACCCCCUGCUGCUGCUGGUCCUUACCCGUGGCGGCGGCAGGGCACCCCGGCAGUGGGCGAGUGGGAGGGGGGAGGGGAAGAGGCGGGCAGACCCACCUCCCCAGGCGGCCUGGCUGGGCCAGAGCUGGUGAAGACCAGGCCAGCAGGACAGACCCGGACCCCGUGAGGCGCCUGUGAAAACAAGCCAGUCCCGGAGACAAGCUGCAGGUGCCGCGUGGGGACCUGGGACGCUAGGCCAGCAGCGGGACCAGGCUCCCGGGGCAGGAAGCACCGGAAGUUUCCUUGGGGCCCCCCUUGGACACGGCCGGGAGGACCCUCGCCUGCCCGUGGUGAGGGUGCCGCCUGCCGGCACGUGCGCUGCUGCCCUGUGUCUGCUCUUGUGGGACGGCGGCUCCUUCCUGCGACUCGGAGCCUGUGUUCAGGGCUGCACUCCAGGCUUCAGCUGACGGAUUCCAGGACCCGACCACAGCGGAGCCACGGAGCUGCCCUAUUGGUAACAGCCCCAAACUGGAAAAGUCCAGAUGUGCAUGUGAGCGAGUCGUCAGCCUGUGGUCCGGCCAUCCAGCUGAGCAGCGCUCCCGCGGCCAGAGACGCAGCAUGGCACAGCACGCGGGGAGCGUGCCGCGGGGAGAGCCGGUCCCAGAGGCUGCGGCGUCCCGUCCCUGUCGUCCGCUCUCCGAGCUCGGCGCCUCCUGAAACCAGGACCUGCUGCAGAUCACAGCCCGUCCCUGAGCCCAACAGCCGGCCGGCCG